UGGUAGCUCGUCGGGCUCAUAACCCGGAGGUCGUCGGUUCGAAUCCGGCCCCCGCUA
rnacentral:tRNA from 1 species